CGGACGGGUGAGUAAUGUCUGGGGAUCUGCCUGAUGGCGGGGGAUAACUACUGGAAACGGUAGCUAAUACCGCAUAAUGUCUACGGACCAAAGCGGGGGACCUCCGGGCCUCGCGCCAUCAGAUGAACCCAUAUGGGAUUAGCUAGUAGGUAAGGUAACGGCUUACCUAGGCGACGAUCCCUAGCUGGUCUGAGAGGAUGACCAGCCACACUGGAACUGAGACACGGUCCAG
rnacentral:rRNA from 1 species